GACGAACGCUGGCGGCGCGCCUAACACAUGCAAGUCGAACGAGCGAGAGAGAGCUUGCUUUCUCAAGCGAGUGGCGAACGGGUGAGUAACGCGUGAGGAACCUGCCUCAAAGAGGGGGACAACAGUUGGAAACGACUGCUAAUACCGCAUAAGCCCACAGGUCGGCAUCGACCAGAGGGAAAAGGAGCAAUCCGCUUUGAGAUGGCCUCGCGUCCGAUUAGCUAGUUGGUGAGGUAACGGCCCACCAAGGCAACGAUCGGUAGCCGGACUGAGAGGUUGAACGGCCACAUUGGGACUGAGACACGGCCCAGACCCCUACGGGAGGCAGCAGUGGGGAAUAUUGCACAAUGGGGGAAACCCUGAUGCAGCGACGCCGCGUGGAGGAAGAAGGUCUUCGGAUUGUAAACUCCUGUUGUUGAGGAAGAUAAUGACGGUACUCAACAAGGAAGUGACGGCUAACUACGUG
rnacentral:rRNA from 1 species